UACGUAGGGGCCUAGCGUUGUCCGGAUUUAUUGGGCGUAAAGAGCUCGUAGGCGGCCUGUCGCGUCGACCGUGAAAACCCGCAGCUCAACUGCGGGCUUGCGGUCGAUACGGGCAGGCUCGAGUUCGGUAGGGGAGACUGGAAUUCCUGGUGUAGCGGUGAAAUGCGCAGAUAUCAGGAGGAACACCGAUGGCGAAGGCAGGUCUCUGGGCCACUACUGACGCUGAGAAGCGAAAGCAUGGGGAGCGAACAGG
rnacentral:rRNA from 1 species